UGCAGCCGGGGAGAUGGCGGUGCCCUGUACUUGCAAUCCGCCUUAGCAAGGGUGAUAUCUUACCUCGGGUAUUGACUGUAGGGCUGCCCUUUAUAAGUGGCGUUGACGCCUGGGUCUUAAGCAAUAGAGCCUUAUGAACCGUGUCAGGUUAGGAAUAAAGCAGCACUAAAUAAGAUACUCUGUGUGACUUGAGGGUGCCUGGGCUGAGCAGGCUGUAAAGGUAACGCUUAUGGAAUGUAUUCAAAGUAAGAUGCACG
rnacentral:SRP_RNA from 1 species